UUGAGUAUGGUAUGAUUUAUCAUGUUAGAACUUAGCAGAAGCAUAAUUCGGUGCGGGAACCGCCGAUUAAUCGGCGAAGCUCUCCGGCGCCGGGGCUUCAUAAUCAAUUCUACCAUUACAUUAAGCCGUCGCUGGGGAAGAGCAGCAGAUCGUACAACAAUGGAGUUCGGAUUACUCCAGUUUUGAACAUUGCCCCAAAUUCUACUUCUAUAGAGUAGGCAGCAGCAAAUUAAUCAGGAUAAGAGAAAAGAUAAGUGUUCAUUUACGGCGUCGAAGAAGGAAGCCGCCACCACCGUCGAUAAGUUUAGAGCUGAAAAUUCCUGCUGUUAUUUUGAAGAAAUUCCUGCUGAAUCACUCGAUCAUUGUGAUGCUGCUGAAUAAAUCGGCACAGGAGUACGUGUACGAGCAGAAAGACUGUUAUUUUAAUACGAGUUGUUGACAUUUGAUAUUCUGCCUAU